rnacentral:rRNA from 1 species
AGGAAAAGAAACCAACAGGGAUUGCCCUAGUAACGGCGAGUGAAGCGGCAACAGCUCAAAUUUGAAAUCUGGCGCAAGCCCGAGUUGUAAUUUGUAGAGGAUGCUUCUAGGUAGCGACCGGUCUAAGUUCCUUGGAACAGGACGUCAUAGAGGGUGAGAAUCCCGUAUGUGACUGGCCCGCACCUUCUACGUAGCUCCUUCGACGAGUCGAGUUGUUUGGGAAUGCAGCUCUAAAUGGGAGGUAAAUUUCUUCUAAAGCUAAAUACCGGCCAGAGACCGAUAGCGCACAAGUAGAGUGAUCGAAAGAUGAAAAGCACUUUGGAAAGAGAGUUAAAAAGCACGUGAAAUUGUUGAAAGGGAAGCGCUCACAACCAGACUUCUAGGCAGUGUUCCGCCGGUCUUUUGACCGGUCUACUCUCUGUCUCGAGGCCAACAUCAUCUGGGACCGCCGGAUAAGACCUUAGGAAUGUAGCUCCCCUCGGGGAGUGUUAUAGCCUCUGGUGAUGCGGCGCGUCUCGGGUGAGGUCCGCGCUUCGGCAAGGAUGUUGGCGUAAUGGUUGUCAGCGGCCCGUCUUGAAACACGGACCAAGGAGUCUAACAUCUAUGCGAGUGUUCGGGUGUCAAACCCCUACGCGUAAUGAAAGUGAACGGAGGUGGGAAGCGUAAGCUGCACCAUCGACCGAUCCUGAUGUCCUCGGAUGGAUUUGAGUAAGAGCAUAGCUGUUGGGACCCGAAAGAUGGUGAACUAUGCCUGAAUAGGGUGAAGCCAGAGGAAACUCUGGUGGAGGCUCGCAGCGGUUCUGACGUGCAAAUCGAUCGUCAAAUUUGGGUAUAGGGCG